rnacentral:tRNA from 1 species
GGAAAUAUGUUCCUGUGGUCAAGAUACUUGACUGGGACUCUGGAGAUCUGGGUUCAAUUCACAGUGUUGCCA